CGGCGGACGGGUGAGUAACGCGUGGGUAACCUGCCUCAUACAGGGGGAUGACAGUUAGAAAUGACUGCUAAUACCGCAUAAGACCACAGCACCGCAUGGUGCGGGGGUAAAAACUCCGGUGGUAUGAGAUGGACCCGCGUCUGAUUAGCUAGUUGGUAAGGUAACGGCUUACCAAGGCGACGAUCAGUAGCCGACCUGAGAGGGUGACCGGCCACAUUGGGACUGAGACACGGCCCAA
rnacentral:rRNA from 1 species